rnacentral:rRNA from 1 species
UACGUAGGGUGCGAGCGUUGUCCGGAAUUAUUGGGCGUAAAGGGCUCGUAGGCGGUUUGUCACGUCGGGAGUGAAAACUCAGGGCUUAACCCUGAGCCUGCUUCCGAUACGGGCAGACUAGAGGUAUGCAGGGGAGAAUGGAAUUCCUGGUGUAGCGGUGAAAUGCGCAGAUAUCAGGAGGAACACCAGUGGCGAAGGCGGUUCUCUGGGCAUUACCUGACGCUGAGGAGCGAAAGCGUGGGGAGCGAACAGG